rnacentral:lncRNA from 1 species
UUUUUUUUUUCUUUUUAAGCCCACAUCCACAGCAUAUGGAAAUUCCCAGGCUAGGAGUCAAAUCAGAGCUAUAGCUGCCGGCCUCCACCUCAGCUACCGCAAUGGGAUCUGAGCCACAUCUGCGACCUACACCACAGCUCAGGGCAAUGCGGGAUCCCCAACCCACUGAGUGACGCCAGGGAUCAAACCCGCAUCCUUAUGGAUACUAGUGGGAUUCAUUUCCGCUGCACCACAACAGGAACUCCCCCAUUUGUCAGUUUUAAGGCCCACACACAGGGAGGAAGGACCAUUCUGACACUCACAUCCUUUUAUUGAGCUGGUCAUAUCUUGGGUAUCAAGAACAGAAGAAUCUUCAAACAAUUUCCUGCUGCCGGUAAGAUGGUACAAAGAGCUGCUGUCAGACAGACUAUUAAACAACACACAGAUUCCCUAAAGACAAACUUAAGAACUCAGAGCCUCUGCCUUCGGUCAUGGGAGACUAUAACAAAAACAUGCUCUUGACUGUCUAUGUGCAUAGCAUCGUAAGGCAGCACAGAGUCGCCAUUCAAUCAACAUGCAUUGAGCUGACUGGAAAUCUGUGGAAACUAGGGCACAGAAUGCAAAGCAGUUCCCUGCACCUCCAGUCCAAAUCCUUCUCUCCUUUGUAGGGCCAACAGGCACCUAGAGAGCAUGUGACAAACCCAGCACCUGGCAUUAUUUUCUGUUCCGAUGACCCUCUUGUUACCUUGUGCAUACGGCUCUUUGCUCAUCGUGAGAUGGUAGAACCUGUCCUAGAGGGAGCGGACACCCUGUGACGGGGGAUGGAGGCAAUGUUCCCACAUGCUCAGUGACCCGAGGCAUGGGACUUAACUGUUUUUUCCUGGAUUGUAGUUUCUUCACAGGUUUGUCACAAAGAUCCAAUCCUCAUGAUUCUGUAACUCCUUUCCUCUUUGAGGAAAUGGGUGGUGUCAGUUAUUUCUGCAUGCCUACCUCCUCGUGUAUGUCUUGGCACCUGUUAAAUAUGUGAAGUGACUUGUGGAAUAAAGAAAUCUUAUUUCUCUUGUAUAUUAAAAUCCCUCUCUGAGUUCCCAUUGUGCCUCGGCAGGUUAAGGACACGACGUUGUCUCUGUGAGAAUGCGGGUUCAGUCCCUGGCCUGGCUCCGUGGGUUAAGGAUCUGGUGUUGCGGCAAGGUCAGCUCAGAUCUGGUGUUGCCCUGGCUGUGGCAUAACCUGGGAAUGUCCAUAUGCCACAGGUGCCGCCACAAAAAGAAAAAACAGAGAUGAAAUCCCUCUCUCUGUGUUGGUUACCUGGCUGGUUCUCAAACACUUUUUGAAAGAAAGAUGCUUUUUAAAAAUACUCAGGUUUGAAUUAUUUACAUAAGUAAGCUGCUUAUUAAGUUAUGUAUUAUUAUAAUAUUUGUAUACUUAUUAAGCUAUGUAUUAUUAAGUUCAGUUAUUUACAUACAGUGAAGUACUCAAUCUUAAGACAGCUCAGUGAAUUUUUACAUAUGCCUACACUCCUGGAACUACCAUCUAAUUAAAGAUAAAAAGCAUUUCAGUUGCUUUAGAAGUUUCCUUCAUGCCACCUCCCAUCAAUACUGCCCCUGCCAGAGGAAAUCAUUAUUCUGACUUCUGUCACCAUAGAUUCGUUUUGCUCACUCUUGAACUUCAAAUAAGUAGAAUCCCCUAGUACAUACCCUCUUGUAUCUGGAUUCUUUCACUCAACAAUACUGUGAGGCUCAUCCAUAUUGUCAUGAAUGUCAGCAGCUCAUUUUUUUCACUGUACCCUAUUCCAUGGUAUAUAUAAACUGCAAUUUAUCCACUUGCCUAUUGAUAGACAAUGGGUUUGUUUCCAGCUUUUAGCAAGGAUGAAUAAAGCUAUAAAUAUUCUUGUGUACAUCCUUUGGUGCACACAGGCAUUCCAUCCUUUGCAGUGGCUGAAUGCAAGGAGUGGAAUUGAUAGGUCAUAGGGUCAGUGUAUAUUUACUUUUUAUUAGAAACUACCAAACUAUUUCACAAAAUAGUUGAACAGAUUCACAUUACCCUCAGCAAUGUACUGAAUUCCAGUGGCUCCAAAUUCCUACAAGCUUUUGAUAGUGUCAGUCUCUUCAAUUUUAGCCAUAAUGAAUUUGUGUUUCCAUUUACUGGUUAUUUACCACACAUGAAAUUAUUAACAAUUCCUUAUCCUGUGUGGGUCUCCAUCUCAGCAAAUGAUCNCGUAAUAAAAAUGUUUCCAGUCAAAACAUCUCGAUGUGGCACUCAGGGCUGGUGCAGAAGAAGCCUUGGAUUCAGAGAUGACAUGGAAGAACUCCAAAUUCCUAUUUUUUUUUUUCUUUUUAGGGCCACACCUGCAGCAUAAAGAAGUUCCCAGGUUAGGGAUCGAGCUGGAGCCAUAGCAACGUGGGAUCUGAGUCGAGUCUGCAACCUACACCACAGCUCACAGCAAUGCCAGAUCCUUAACCCACUGAGCAAAGCCAGGGAUCCAGCCCGCAACCUCAUGGAUCCUAGUUGGAUUCAUUAACAAUUGAGCCACCAAGGUAAUUCCCAGCAACACCAAAUGUCUAACAAGUAACUUAAACAUAAAAGCAAGUAUCAAAAAGAUAAACGUAAAGUAAGUUAAUUCUAUGCUUCUCAGGAGGAAAUUUCAGUUAACAAAUACAUAUUAAACAGAAGAAGAAUCUCAUAAUAUGUGUCAUUGUAUUUAACAGAUACAUAUUGGCUACCUCUAUGAGCUUGAUAUAAUACUAGAAAGUUUCUGAUAAUUCUACUUUGUUCUCAAAACCUCACAGAAUUGAUUUGAUCUCCAAUGUGCAACUUAGGAAAGCAGAGAUAGUUUGCUGAGGAUGGCUACCUGGCUUUGCCUUAGUACAACAAAAGCCCUCACCCCAACCCUUAUCCAUCAUCAGUGCUGCUGCUUUUUCAGUUCUCCUGAAGGUCAACUGUUCUUUCCCUACUAGAUAACAUUCAGUGGUUCAUCCUGUCCACCAAAGAAAGUCCAGAUUCUUUUUGUGUGUGUGUGUCUUUUUGCCAUUUCUUGGGCCACCCCUGCGGCACAUGGAGGUUCCCAGGUUAGGGGUCGAAUCGGAGCUGUAGCCAUAGGCCUACGCCAGAGCCACAGCAACGCAGGAUCCGAGCUGCCUCUGCAACCUACACCACAGCUCAUGGCAACACCAGAUCCUUAAGCCACUCUGCAAGGCCAGGGAUCGAACCUGCAACUUCAUGGUCCCUAGCCGGAUUUGUUAACUACUGCGCCAUGACGGGAACUCCUAGAAAGUCCAGAUUCUUACAUGUUUGUGAUCUCUCUUCCUGCCCCACACCACCCGUAGUUCUCGUUAACUACAUUUCCAUGUUUAUCUCCCAUUGCUCGCCUCCAGAAAUCUGAUGCGUAAAUCAAACCAAAGCUCUUCUGCAUAUUAUGCUUUAUA